rnacentral:lncRNA from 1 species
UGCAGAUAGAAGGAAGCCAGGGAGAUGGAUCAGUCAUCUCCCCUCUCCUUCCAGCCCCAGCCUGCCUGACAAGGAUCUGAUCAGAGGAGAGGAUCAAUAGCCCUGUUCAUGUUCCUAUCUGUUUCCGGAAUCACAACUUAGGCUCCCCAGUUCUCUCUUCAAAUCCUGUUUCUCUGCUGGAAUUUGAACCCAUAAGACCACCUGAACGGUGGGGAAACCUCCCUCAACGUGUGUUGCCCCAUCUUGCCACGAGGGGGCGCU